rnacentral:rRNA from 1 species
AAACAUGUYUUAAGGAAUAUAAUUUUAAGUCAAAUCUGCUCCAUGAUUUAAUUAUUAAAUAGCUGCAGAAAUUUAACUGUACAAAGGUAGCAUAAUCAAUAGUUUUUUAAUUAAAAGCUAGAAUGAAUGAUUUGAUAAGGAAAAUAUUGUCUCAAAUUUAAUAGAAUUAUAAUUUUUUUUUUAGUAAAAAUACUAAAAUAAAUUUAAAAGACGAGAAGACCCUAUAGAUUUUUAUAUUUUAUUAUUAAUUAAUAAAUUAAAUUAUAAUUAUGUUAAUAAAAAUAAUAUUAGGUUGGGGAAAUUGUUAAAUUAAAAAAAUUUUAAUUAUAUAAAAACAAAAAUUAUUGAAUUAAUGAUCUUAAUUUUUAGAUUAUAAGAAUAAAAUACCUUAGGGAUAACAGCGUAAUUUUUUUAGAGAGAUCAUAUUAAUAAAAAAGUUUGCGACCUCGAUGUUGAAUUAAGAUAAAAUUUUAAUGAAGAAGUUAAAAAUUUUUGGUCUGUUCGACCAUUAAAAUCUUACAUGAUCUGAGUUCAAACCGGAGA